rnacentral:rRNA from 1 species
GCCUCAGUAACGGCGAGUGAAGCGGCAACAGCUCAAAUUUGAAAUCUGGCUCUUUCAGGGUCCGAGUUGUAAUUUGUAGAGGAUGUUUCGGGUGUGGCUCCGGUCUAAGUUCCUUGGAACAGGACGUCAUAGAGGGUGAGAAUCCCGUAUGUGACUGGUAGCCUAUGCUCAUGUGAAACUCCUUCGACGAGUCGAGUUGUUUGGGAAUGCAGCUCAAAAUGGGUGGUAAAUUUCAUCUAAAGCUAAAUAUUGGCCAGAGACCGAUAGCGCACAAGUAGAGUGAUCGAAAGAUGAAAAGCACUUUGGAAAGAGAGUUAAACAGUACGUGAAAUUGUUGAAAGGGAAGCGCUUGCAACCAGACUUGCAUGUAGCUGAUCAACCGGUGUUCUCACCGGUGCACUCAGUUGCGUUCAGGCCAGCAUCGGUUUCGACGGUUGGAUAAAGGCCUUGGGAAUGUAGCUCCUCUCGGGGAGUGUUAUAGCCCAGGGUGCAAUGCAGCCUGUUGGGACCGAGGACCGCGCUUCGGCUAGGAUGCUGGCGUAAUGGUUGUAAGCGACCCGUCUUGAAACACGGACCAAGGAGUCUAACAUCUAUGCGAGUGUUUGGGUGUCAAACCCAUACGCGUAAUGAAAGUGAACGGAGGUGAGAACCCUUAAGGGUGCAUCAUCGACCGAUCCUGAUGUCUUCGGAUGGAUUUGAGUAAGAGCAUAGCUGUUGGGACCCGAAAGAUGGUGAACUAUGCCUGAAUAGGGUGAAGCCAGAGGAAACUCUGGUGGAGGCUCGCAGCGGUUCUGACGUGCAAAUCGAUCGUCAAAUUUGGGUAUAGGGGCGAAAGACUAAUCGAACCAUUAACACAUGUUACUACUGGUAUCUUCUGAUACUAUGUAUUUACUAGGUGGUUAAGAGGCGCAGUAAAGCUGCGUCUAGUCCAGUGUAAUGGGCGAAAUCUCCAAAUUGCGGGGACACCCUCAACAGCCCUGGAACCCCAAGCCGAUACUCGAAAGAUGUCGGUGGCCAUAGCUAACUACUAUGGGUACGGGAAUAGCGUCCAGGGACACGGGGGCAAUCCGCAGCCAAGCUCCUUUCGGGUGACUGAAUGUGAGAAGGUUCAUCGACUAGAUGGUGGUUGGUCAUCUGGGAUUCCCAGAAGGCUUAAGGUAUAGUCAGGCCUACAGGAAACUGUAGCGGGCGACAAAGGACUCAGUGUUACACCGUGUAUUACUCUUGUGAUAUACGCGCUGGCUCCCCGAAUCGACCCGGCUGUGCGCAAGUAC